AGGUAGCCGAGUUCCAGGAUGCGGGCAUCGUAUAAUGGCUAUUACCUCAGCCUUCCAAGCUGAUGAUGCGGGUUC
rnacentral:tRNA from 1 species